UCACUCAGAAAAUAAAACACAAAAACUAUCCAAAGAUUUGGAAACUGAACAGCAAUCACAUUUUAUGGAGGUCACCAUAACUUGUAUUCAGUUUCCACAUUCAGAAAAAUUAAAACAAAAACAAAAAGGAAAAAAAAAUUGUGCAGUGAUCAAUACAAUUCAAGAUUUUUUGCAGCAACUAAUACUAUUCAAGAUACAGCAUGUAUUUUUUUUCGUGUGUGUCAAUUUUUGUGUACCUGAAUCCGGCCGGCGGCUUGGCCGGGUCCGGCCAGCCAACUGUAAAGUAAGAGCAUGGCAAGUAAAUAGGACCACAAAGGAGAGUGACAAACUAAGGAGUAGGACAUGGCACAUGAGACUCCAUGAGCUCUCGCUUUAGAGUCCAUAAGCAUCACCGGCUGGGGACGAGGACCCAAGCUGUUAUCUGUUCUUUUCCCGGCCGUCGCUGUUCUCUGUGGCCCUUGACAACCAAGAUCCAGUGAAUGAUGACACCAUGGUCCCUUGGUUGGCCAACUUUUUUCAUUAAGAACUCUGUGGCAGAGGAACCCUACCAAGAAGCCACAGAUGGAGAUGAGUGGACGGGAGACCAAAGAUAUGAUGGGAAUUUGCAAUAGAGAAAUUGUAAAUAGGGAAGCAAGAAGAAAGAAACUAAGGCAACAAUUAUUGUAUCUGUGAGGGCCCGGUCCAUUGACUGGCCCGCACAUGAAUUGGGCUGCAGGCCCAUAUGAGCGAGGGCUCACACGCCCCGUGCGUGGGAGAGAGAGAAGUCAGACUCCGAACAGAGUCCUCUUCUUCCCCGAUUCUGCCAAGAGGUAGAGACGGAAGAAGGCCAAAUCCUUCCAUGUUUGAGCCGGUUUUUCCCUAUAAGAGAGAGCCCCCACCUUCGUCGAGUGCCACCACUUCUCUUUCCUCUUUUCUCUCAUCGAGUCCACAGUUUUCCGUUCUUAUGCCCACCGAAGAUCGAAGCUGGAGACGCCGUCGAAGCUGAGGUUUAGUUGUUGCCUAGCGAAGUUUGACAAUCCAAGACAAGAUAUGAAUAAGGUCAAUAGGAAUAAAGGAUGGUCCAGACUUGGAGUUCAUGCUAGCAAGCUUGACGAUUUUAUAGUAGAAUUGUAGUAUUUUAAUUAACCAUGAAUUUGUAGUUAAUGAUUUUUUGAAUAUUAAGAAUUAUGGGUUUAUUAUUUAUGUCUGGAUAAGGGCUCAGUGGUGUAGUUAUGUCUAUAAAGUUUCGGUUAUGUAUUCAA